rnacentral:rRNA from 1 species
UACGUAGGGCGCAAGCGUUAUCCGGAAUUAUUGGGCGUAAAGAGCUCGUAUGCGGUUUGUCGCGUCUGCCGUGAAAGUCCGGGGCUCAACUCCGGAUCUGCGGUGGGUACGGGCAGACUAGAGUGAUGUAGGGGAGACUGGAAUUCCUGGUGUAGCGGUGAAAUGCGCAGAUAUCAGGAGGAACACCGAUGGCGAAGGCAGGUCUCUGGGCAUUAACUGACGCUGAGGAGCGAAAGCAUGGGGAGCGAACAGG